UCCCUAAAAGGUGGCGACAAGUUAAGGAGCAGCGGUCUAAGGAGCAGUUGGCAGAUUGCAGGAGCAGCGGUCUAAGGUGGCUAAUUCACAUUAAAACUGGCUACAUACAUUUAACUUAAAAUGUCCCUGUCCGAGUGCUAAAAUAGACUCUAUGGUUCAAUCACAACCAGUAAACACUGUGGAAGCACUAGGAAGCAACACUGUGCUCUUCAGCAUUACGUUGCACAAUCCUGUUACACAACUUUAGAUACUCAGCUUUCAUCUCAUCAUAUCUAGCCCUACAGCUGAAGAUUAUGAAAAUACCAUCAAGUAAUGAUUAUUUCAAUAAACAUCAGAAUGAUCAAGAUGCUAAAAGAUCUAAGGGGAACAAAAAAUGCCCUCAGUGACUACAGGAGAAGAUCUGAUUCCUAGAAAGCAAGCCAAAUAUGCUGCAUUUAGUACUCUGUCUGGAGACUCUCAUAAGAUCUGACAAUUGGGGCAGGAAACUAAAAGUUACUUUGGAUAAGUGAAUUGAAUUGCUGUGAACAUUGAAUUACUCUAGGAGUCUGUAACUUUUGUCAAAGAUCAUAGUGAUACAAUUAUUCUGGUAGUGAAUUUACUGUCUAGAAAACGUAAUCAUUGACCUAGUGUUUGCAGCCACCAUAUCAUCUAUUGCAUCACUCACUAUAGAGUUCCAAAUUGCCUCUGGAAGCAGCAUCAGCACAAGAACGUGCGUCGGGAGCUUCAAGAAAUGGGUUUCCAUGUCUGAGCAGGAGCAGCUGUA